rnacentral:rRNA from 1 species
AUUGAACGCUGGCGGCAUGCCUUACACAUGCAAGUCGAACGGCAGCACGGGAGCAAUCCUGGUGGCGAGUGGCGAACGGGUGAGUAAUAUAUCGGAACGUGCCCGGUCGUGGGGGAUAACGUAGCGAAAGCUACGCUAAUACCGCAUACGAUCUACGGAUGAAAGCGGGGGAUCGUAAGACCUCGCGCGAUUGGAGCGGCCGAUAUCAGAUUAGGUAGUUGGUGAGGUAAAGGCUCACCAAGCCGACGAUCUGUAGCUGGUCUGAGAGGACGACCAGCCACACUGGGACUGAGACACGGCCCAGACUCCUACGGGAGGCAGCAGUGGGGAAUUUUGGACAAUGGGCGCAAGCCUGAUCCAGCAAUGCCGCGUGCAGGAUGAAGGCC